rnacentral:rRNA from 1 species
AUUGAACGCUGGCGGCAUGCCUUACACAUGCAAGUCGAACGCCCUAGCAAUAGGGAGUGGCAGACGGGUGAGUAACACGUGGGAACCUUCCCUAUAGUAUGGAAUAGCCCAGGGAAACUUGGAGUAAUACCGUAUACGCCCGAGAGGGGAAAGAUUUAUCGCUAUAGGAUGGGCCCGCGUAGGAUUAGCUAGUUGGUGAGGUAAUGGCUCACCAAGGCGACGAUCCUUAGCUGGUCUGAGAGGACGACCAGCCACACUGGGACUGAGACACGGCCCAGACUCCUACGGGAGGCAGCAGUGGGGAAUAUUGGACAAUGGGCGCAAGCCUGAUCCAGCCAUGCCGCGUGAGUGAUGAAGGCCUUAGGGUUGUAAAGCUCUUUUUGUGGGGGAAAAGAAUGGAUGGUACCCCAAGAAUAAGUCACGGCUAACUACGUGCCAGCAGCCGCGGUAAU